rnacentral:rRNA from 1 species
GACGAACGCUGGCGGUGUGCUUAACACAUGCAAGUCGAACGGUAAGGCCCUUUCGGGGGUACACGAGUGGCGAACGGGUGAGUAACACGUGAGUAACCUGCCCUCAUCUCUGGGAUAACAGUCGGAAACGGUUGCUAAUACUGGAUAUGAGCCUGCAAGGCAUCUUGUGGGUUGGAAAGAUUUUUUGGUUGGGGAUGGACUCGCGGCCUAUCAGCUUGUUGGUGAGGUAGUGGCUCACCAAGGCUUCGACGGGUAGCCGGCCUGAGAGGGCGACCGGCCACAUUGGGACUGAGAUACGGCCCAAACUCCUACGGGAGGCAGCAGUGGGGAAUAUUGCACAAUGGACGGAAGUCUGAUGCAGCAACGCCGCGUGCGGGAUGACGGCCUUCGGGUUGUAAACCGCUUUCAAUUGUGACGAAGCAUUUUGUGACGGUAGCAGUAGAAGAAGCACCGGCUAACUACGUG